GUAAUGUAUGAUAACCUCUGGGUCUAUGCUCAGCAUGUCCAAAGCUGAUCAAAUGAGAACAUCCAUGUUUGAUCAAAAAAAUGAAGCAAGGUGCUGACGGUCCUCAUCAUUUAGGAGGCAAUCAAAACCAUUCUGAUUGGGUCGGAUUCCACUAGCACAAUUGGUAUGAGGUCUUCUACUAGUGCUCUCUAUUAUGUCGACUCGUCAUGAACAUCAAGCUCCUCCAUAGGCUGAGAUUCUAUAAGAGCUCUCCCAUGCAGGGUUGUCAUGUAAUAUUCC
rnacentral:lncRNA from 1 species